CCUACGGGGGGCUGCAGUGGGGAAUAUUGGACAAUGGGCGAAAGCCUGAUCCAGCCAUGCCGCGUGUGUGAAGAAGGCCUUCGGGUUGUAAAGCACUUUCAGUGGGGAAGAAAGCCUUGGGGCUAAUACCCUCGAGGAAGGACAUCACCCACAGAAGAAGCACCGGCUAACUCCGUGCCAGCAGCCGCGGUAAUACGGAGGGUGCGAGCGUUAAUCGGAAUUACUGGGCGUAAAGCGCGCGUAGGUGGUCUGAUAAGCCGGUUGUGAAAGCCCCGGGCUCAACCUGGGAACGGCAUCCGGAACUGUCAGGCUAGAGUGCAGGAGAGGAAGGUAGAAUUCCCGGUGUAGCGGUGAAAUGCGUAGAGAUCGGGAGGAAUACCAGUGGCGAAGGCGGCCUUCUGGACUGACACUGACGCUGAGGUGCGAAAGCGUGGGUAGCAAACAGGAUUAGAUACCCUUGUAGUC
rnacentral:rRNA from 1 species